rnacentral:sRNA from 1 species
GUUUUGUCCUGGUGCUGGUCACUAGGGUCUGACUGUAACAGCUCCUGUGAUUGUGGAUCAGUAAAGCAGAAGCCCCAGGAGCAGAAAGGUCAGGAUACUAGGGAUGCAGAUGCACUGCCGCCCUGCCUGUAUAUGGGGUCCAGGCCACAUGUUCCACGACUCUUCUGGCCUGCCCAGGCUGACUGCCGAGCUGGCUAGCAGCAGUUUGCUGGCCCUCUGACUCUCGGGGUUCUGAUCUGCCUUCUUGUGUUGCUGGAAAACAUGGAAGAAAUCAGAACCAGACACUGCACAGGCUAAGGACCAGGUGACUGGAACUCUGAAGCCUUCUCUUCUAGAUCUGGCAUCCUGCACACGGGACGUGGGACUGACUUCUGUCUCUCAGCAGCAAACCCUCUCCCAGCAUUUUCCUCCCUUUUGAGGCAGAGUAAUAUUCACCGUGUGUCUGGCCACAUUUUAUCUGUCGGGAUGGGGAUGAGAACUCUGGUCCCCUGCAUCGAGUGCUGCCGCCGCCACCGCUGAGUUCAGGUGUGUCUGCCAACUCGGCCUGGAGUCCUGCUCUCACUGGAUUGUGGGAUAUUCCAUCAAGGCUGCUGUGGUUAUCCUUGGUCCAACUUUGUGUACUCAGAGCUGCCACCCUAUCCUCACGACGGUCCCACUUUAAAUGCUCAGUCCUGACCCUCCUGGGAAAAAUCUCCAUGAAGGCUUUACUCACAGAGCCUGGGCUGUUCUUACCUCCACCCCACCCCCACCCCCACUCGGCCUCCUACCCCCCCAAACCCCUCACUACUCUUCUUCUGAGGUUCCUCCUCUGACCUACUCCAGUCCCCUCUGUGUGGAAGGAAACACUGCUUCCUCACAUGCCCAUGCUACCUCUAGGCUGAGGCCUCUGACCUCCCAGGAGCUUGGGUAACUUUGAGCCUGGGAGCUGAUCUGUCCCCUCUCUACACCAUGGGCCCUUCUUCUUUUUAGGCUCACCCAAGAUCUGGUGUUAUGGUUCUGGGGAAGCUGAAACAAAUGUCACAACUGCACUGGGAUGUGGUUCAAUGGCCCGUGUGGCAUGUUCUAGACCUCAGAUUCUAUCUCUACCACUGCAACACGUGUGCACACGUGCACGCGCGCGCGCACACACACACCAAACAACAAUAACAAACACCAAAACAAAACAACAAGGAAUAAACAGAAUAUCACCAACCAAAACAGCAGAAAUGUAUUGUCACAGGCUGAAGGCCAGAAGUCCACGGUCAAGGUGGUGGGCAAGGUUUUUCAAGGCUCACUUGUGCCUCCUGAGCUUCUGGGGUUCUGGCAGUCUCCAGCCACUUAGCCGUGGAAGCUUCACCUUGAUUUAGGCCCCAGGUCCACAUAAAAAUCUUACCGCUGGGAUGCUCUGAGUGUCUGUGUGGCUUGCCUAUGGGUCUCAUGUGUGUGUGUGUGUGUGUGUGUGUGUGUGUCCUGGCCUAUAGCCAAAUCUCUUCAUAAGGACACUAAUGACUUGGGGUGUUGCCUUCCCUGAGCGUGCAUGGCCUCCUAUAAGCCACUCAUAUCUAGCACAACCCUUUUUAGACAAGAGUGUGUUGUGUCAACCAGGGUCAAAUGGUUGAUAUGAACUGAGCAGGACAUGAACGCUCCCACCUCCCUCCUAACCCAGGUCCCUGUGAAGCCACUGGUCUCUGACCAAGAGCAAGGGACAGAUCCCCUGGAAGAAGAUCAGCUGCCAAAGUGGCCCAGAAUCCUAUUGGGUCAGCUUUAAAUAUCAUCUGACAGACACUUCCCAGUCCCCUAUUCCUCCCCAGGAGCUGCUGAGGUGCUUGGCUCAUUCUGGGGAACAAAAGCCCUGUUAUCACUGUCACCUUGGAUGCCAGUUCCUUGGGGAACAAUUCUAAGGUCUGAGGCCUGCUGAGGGGCUGAGGCUGCAUCUACCUAUCCUGAGGCCGAGGGCAGCUCCAUGCCAAAGGUCUCAUCACAAAGGUGCAGAGGAAUCUGGGCCUGUCUUGGGGUUGGCUGUCAGGAGAGCCUGGAGUCCUGGAGGUGGGUAGCAAGAACAGAGGAAGAAAGGAACCCCUGCCUGAGGUCUUUCACCUGAAAAAAGCAGUUCUCAGAGAAACACAUAGCUCCCAGCGGGGCAUGCUUCAUCUCCAUGGACAACCUGACUAGGUUGGGAAUCACCUGGCAGACACUCCGCUGUGCUUGUCUGUGACAGAGUUUUCAGAACGGUUCAACUGAGGAAAGACACCCAGAAUGUGGAGUCACCAUCCCACGGACUGAGACCCCAGACUGAGUCGAAAGCUGAGCACCAGUGUUCAUCUCUCUCUGCCCUGUGGUGCAACGUAACCAGCUACCUCAGGCCCUGUUGCCAUGGCUUCCUGUACCGUCAAACUAAGAGCCUGAAAGGAGAAAAGGCUAGGCACCACACAUCUCUCUCUGCUGAGCCCCAGCCAUCCCCCCUCUGCUUCCUGGCUUAUGGAGAUGUGAGCAGGCUCUGCCUCCACAACCUCAAUCCGCCCUCAUCAUCCCACCUUCCCCUCAUCAUGAGUGACUGUGUGCCUUCAGACUGUGAGCCAA